UAAUAGUUGCAUUGGUAUCUCUGCCAGCUUUGUUUAAAUUCCCUUUUCUACUCUUUAAGCAAGCUUGGAGCUCCAAUUAUUCCCCUUUUGAUACACAACUUAAGAAAAACUUGACUUGAGGUCAACAGUAUCUUAAAAAGGAGACAGAAGGCUUGGGCCGAAUAGGAAACAGGUUUCACACCAGUGCAGUUUUCCCAAGAUGAUGGUCUUUUACUGUCAGCGGAUUGCUUCAGGAGGCCCCCUCACACUCCACCACCAACUACAGCUCCUGCUUAAAUGACAGAGAAAGGGAAGAUGAGUCAGUAAGUACAAAAGCUUCCAGCACGGAAGAGCACUAGAUGAAACAGUGGUGUUGUCCUGACCAGCCAGCAAUCCCAAACUGAGCUCCUCCUCUAAACCUGAAAGUCUGCAUUUCCUGAAUCAACAGGCCCAGCACAGGGCUUGCUCUCACCACCAUUACUCAUAUAAGAAGCCCUGUUCACAUCACUGACUACACAUGUGAUUUAAGUCAAUACACAAAGUGGCUGAUAUGUGUUUUGUAGCCAUGAGGAGAGUAAGCAGUCAAUUCACUAAACUUUGUAACUGGUCACAGAGGGACAUGGAAAAGUUCUGAGUCCUUAAAUCAGAGCUGGCCAUCUCUCAAAAAGGGACAGUCUAAUUCAACUAAAAGUGGUUGGGGCUGGUGGAGAAAUUAUGGGGCAAAAUAAUUGUAUGGCUGCUUUGAUGCAGUAGACCAAAUUACAUGAUGGUCUCUUAAUGUCGUGGGUAUUUUUACCUGAGGAGGGUGGUAUGUAAGGCCAUAGGCACACAUGGUAGACUCUAACUGGGUACUAACUCUUUUGAUUCAAUUUUGCAGAGCUGUGCAUCUAUGGGGAGAGUUGUCAUUCUGCCUCCCAAGUACCUCCUCAGGAAGAGAGCUUAAAACACAUAGUUUCAUGCUAAAAAACAUCCAGUCCUUUGCUUCCAGCAGUAGCUGAUGUAGGAGGAAAGAGCUGCCCACUCUUCAUUUACAGACCAGUCUGGCUGCACAGCUUCAUAGAUGCGAGGACUGAGACCACACAGCGUUGAAUCAUACUCUGCUUUGUAGCUUUGCUUUGUGCUUUGCUGAGGACAGAGACCGGGCAGUGUUCCCGGCGAAGAGCCGCUGUCUAUCGAGGAGAUGGAUGGGCUCGGCUCCCGCUCUGCCCAGCUGCCUCUGAAUGCUCCCGGCUCAUGGGAAAUGGCCAGAACCACUGAAUUUCAGCCAUUGAUCCCCUCCCUCCUUUCCUCUCUUUCUACCUCUUUCUUCCCUGCAUUCCCUGAGGGUUCUCUUGGCUGGCUGAAGGCGCUGCGUUGCUGUGGGCAGGCUUUGAUCGCAGCCCCUGCUGCUGGGGGCGGAGAGGUGGGCACAGCAAGGGCUGCGGGCUGGUUUGGGUUUACAGCACGGGAUUCUGUGAAUGGAAAUCCUUAAAAUAAAAAUAAAUACGUAAAAUCAA